GCGAAGUGAUGAUAUAAUUUCAUUAGUCUGUCAAUCCACUGACAACUCAAUUGUGUGAUGUUAAGAGUGAAUCUCGACAGGUUCUGAUCGC
rfam:Solanum lycopersicum cultivar Heinz 1706 chromosome 7, whole genome shotgun sequence.